GACGAACGCUGGCGGCGUGCUUAACACAUGCAAGUCGAACGGAAAGGCCUCUUUCGGGGGGUACUCGAGUGGCGAACGGGUGAGUAACACGUGAGUAACCUGCCCUUGACUUUGGGAUAACUUCAGGAAACUGGGGCUAAUACCGGAUAGGAGCUCCUGCUGCAUGGUGGGGGUUGGAAAGUUUCGGCGGUUGGGGAUGGACUCGCGGCUUAUCAGCUUGUUGGUGGGGUAGUGGCUUACCAAGGCCUUGACGGGUAGCCGGCCUGAGAGGGUGACCGGCCACAUUGGGACUGAGAUACGGCCCAGACUCCUACGGGAGGCAGCAGUGGGGAAUCUUGCACAAUGGGUGGAAGCCUGAUGCAGCAACGCCGUGUGCGGGAUGACGGCCUUCGGGUUGUAAACCGCUUUCGCUCAUGACGAAGCUUUGUGUGACGGUAGUGGGUAAAGAAGCACCGGCUAACUACGUG
rnacentral:rRNA from 1 species